CUUGGUCAUUUAGAGGAAGUAAAAGUCGUAACAAGGUUUCCGUAGGUGAACCUGCGGAAGGAUCAUUAAAGAAUUGCCCCAUUUUUUGAAAUGGGUUCUAUUCCCAAACCGUGUAUACAUACCUUUGUUGCUUUGGCAAGCCGUCCUUCGGGCGCAGCUUCGGCUGAGAGCGCUUGCCAGAGGACCCCAACUCUUUUGUUUAGUGAUGUCUGAGUACUAUAUAAUAGUUAAAACUUUCAACAACGGAUCUCUUGGUUCUGGCAUCGAUGGAGAACGCAGCGAAAUGCGAUAAGUAAUGUGAAUUGCAGAAUUCAGUGAAUCAUCGAAUCUUUGAACGCACAUUGCGCCCCUUGGUAUUCCGAGGGGCAUGCCUGUUCGAGCGUCAUUAUGACCACUCAAGCCUAGCUUGGUAUUGGGGUUCGCGGUCUCGCGGCUCUUAAAAUCAGUGGCGGUGCCAUCUGGCUCUAAGCGUAGUAAUUCUCUCGCUAUAGGGCUCCGGUAGUUGCUUGCCAAAACCCCCCUAUUUCUCACGGUUGACCUCGGAUCAGGUAGGGAUACCCGCUGAACUUAAGCAUAUCAAUAAGCGGAGGA
rnacentral:rRNA from 1 species